GACGAACGCUGGCGGCGCGCUUAACACAUGCAAGUCGAACGGAAAGGCCUGCUUUCCCUUGUGGAUUGCGGGUACUCGAGUGGCGAACGGGUGAGUAACACGUGAGUGAUCUGCCCCCAACUUGGGUAUAAGCCUGGGAAACUGGGUCUAAUUCCCGAUAGGACUGCAGGGUGGUGCCUGUUGUGGAAAACGAUUUUCUAGUGGUUGGGGAUGAGCUCGCGGCCUAUCAGCUUGUUGGUGGGGUAAUGGCCUACCAAGGCGGCGACGGGUAGCCGGCCUGGGAGGGUGGACGGCCACAUUGGGACUGGGAUACGGCCCAGACUGCUACGGGAGGCAGCAGUGGGGAAUAUUGCACAAUGGGCGGAAGCCUGAUGCAGCGACGCCGCGUGGGGGAUGACGGCCUUCGGGUUGUAAACUCCUUUCGACCGCGAGGAAGCCACCUGGUUGGAAGGGUGGUGACGGUAGUGGUAGAAGAAGCACCGGCUAACUACGUG
rnacentral:rRNA from 1 species